rnacentral:lncRNA from 1 species
AAGAAUGGCUAAGGGAAAUAGAGUAGAAAAUGGUUUUGGGAGGUAAAUAUAGGUUAGUCUACACUAAUUUGUAGUUUAGGUUCAGUGUUACUUGUUGCUUAUAUUCUGCUUGAUACAUGGUUACUCACUGAGUUUCUGAGUUAGGGUUCAGAGGUUCAGUCUAUUAUCAUUAAGGUGGGAGCAUAGCAGCAUACAGACAGGCAUAGUGCAGGAAGAGUUGUGAGUACUACAUUUGCAUCUGAAGGCUGUUACCAGAAUACUGUCUUCCAAGCAGCUAGAAUGAAGGUCUUAAAGUCCAUGCCCACUGUGACACACCUACUCCAUUAAGGCCACACCUACUACAACAGUGCCACACUUUCUAAAGUGCCACUCCCCAGGCUAAGUGUAUACAAACCAUCACAUUCUACUCCCUGGCCCCCAUAGGCUUGUUCAAGCAUAUGAGACUAUGGGGGGCCACAGCUGAACAUUACAUAAUACCAAAUACAUUUUUUCCAACUUGCAAAGUCCCCAUAGUCUAUGCCUCUCUCUACAAUGUUAAAGUCCAAAUUUCCAGUCUCUUCUGAGAUUCAUCAAAUCACUUAACUGCAAUUCCUAAGGCAAGACAGGAAACCAGCUGGGUGAUCUCCAGCACUGCAUCAUCUCCAUGUCCGCUGUCAAAGCAGUCUUCAGAUCUCCAACUCCGUUUUCAUCUUUGUUGACUGAAACAAACUUCAUUCUCCUGGGCUGGUUCUACUCCCUGUUAGCAACUUUCCUAGGCAGAUAACUCAUGUCUCUGUCAUCUAGAACAUCUUGGGGUUUCCAGAGUAACUUCAGUGUUAUAGCUUCUUGUUUCAAUUUCUGGGAUCCACACAUGAUCUUCUGGGCUCCUCCAAAGGGCUGGCAUCACUUCUUCCUCUCUGUCCUCUGUAGCACUCUAAAGUCAGGUUGAUCCAUUCAACCACAGCAGCUGUUCUUGGUGAUCAUCCCAUAGUACUGGCAUCUGAAACAUACUGGGCUUCUUCUGCUGCAAAUAGGUUUCACCAAUAGCCUUUCAUAGACUCUCUUCCUGGUGCCAAACCUCAACUCCUUUACAUGACCCCUUCAGUCCUGGGUCAUCAACUGCAACUGAGACUGCACUGUCACCAACAGCAUUCCAUGGCUUCUCACAGUGCCAAACUUCAUCUGCUCUUCAUGCCUUCAUGCCUUCAAAACCAGUACCAUCUGGGUGAGUCUUACAUAGUACCAAAUACAGCUGCAGCAGGAGGUUCAAUUUUGGCUAUCUCUGGAACAUGGCUUCUUUGUGCUCUCAGCAAACACUUCCCAGAAGAUUUUACCUCAGUGAUGUUGUUUUCUUCUUAAUCACCACUAAUUUCUUAGCUCCAGAUAACGAGCAUCAAUUGUCCCAGUGGUCCCUUCUAUUCUGGACUCCAAAGCUAAAGCCAUAUGGGGAAAGUGCUUCGUUCUUCUGCUUGCUAGAACUGAAACAUACGUGGAUCUGUGGAGAACUUUGUUGUGGCAGAAAUGAGGGCAGAUAGAGAGCUGAACAUUUGAAGUUUACUUCUCAAUAUGAGAAGUCUUUCAUGAAAAGACUUUUUAAAAAAUAUUUCUUAGUCAGAGGGAUUUGUGACCUUUCCUGCAGAUCUCAGGACAUGGUAGACAUGCUACUGGUUAGAAAAUGAAAAAUUGAAAACAAUAAGGUAUUAAGGAUAAAUUACAAGGUUUCUCACUUCUGAAGAUUUCAUUGCCACCCUGCCUACAUGUGAAACAGGGUGAUGUAAUAAAUAGAAACAGAAAGUCACUGAAGACUUAAGCAAUUUGGAAGCAGAACCUUGAGUAACAUGCCAGGCACCAGGGGAACAGUGUUGGCAGGGAAAACACUUGAUUGUGGGGAGUGCCUUGGAAUGUGAGCCAUUGCAUGCUGGGAAGGAGAGAAGAUCCACUUCUAAACCCGUUGGCACUGUCUUUGCUUAUUUAAGGGCUGUUUAUUGGGAGUUUUAUAAACCUCAGGCAAUGUUAGAAGUGGAGCAAAAACAACAAAUACAAAUACAAAU